UCCUUUCUAGCUUAUACUUAAAGCAUAAGUUUGAAGAGCUGAGGAAACAGAAAUGUGGUGGGAG
rnacentral:tRNA from 1 species